AUGAGACUAAUCCCUACGUCAGGCCAGAGCAGUUCAGAGGAAGACACAUCGCCAACAAGGCCCGGUUUUCAGCGUGCCGCCCCCGUUUGUAGAUACCUAUGGUGGCUCUCAACUGGCUCUUAAGUGGAAUUCAAUCUCCUGAUCCUGGGUGACAUCUGUGACGUGUAUUUCUGAAAAUACCCCGGCUUUGGUGUUGAAUCAGUAUGGGGAAUUCGAGCUAUGGCAUUGGCGGUACCCCACAACAGCACUGCGCGGACGGCCCACUAAGUCGUUGAUAAUUCGUGGCUCUCUUUUGAUUUUGUGCAAGUUGGUGUGAACAGAGAUGCAAGUAUCUGGUUGAACGGGAACUUUGAUCACAGCAGGGAAGGCAUCAUUUUACCAGGUAAUUCACUCUUUUGGACCAGACCCUUAACAGUGGACAGGCGCAAGCAUAGCAAGCAGAGAAACCCAAAGAUUGUGAUUUAAGAGUUCAGAAGGGAUCCCCA
rnacentral:lncRNA from 1 species